rnacentral:rRNA from 1 species
GACGAACGCUGGCGGCGUGCCUAAUACAUGCAAGUCGAACGCAGUUGCGAACGGUUGAGUAACGCGUAGGUAACUGCCUCAUAGCGGGGGAUAACUAUUGGAAACGAUAGCUAAUACCGCAUAUUGUGAGAUGGACCUGCGGUGGAUUAUCUAGUUGGUGAGGUAAAGGCUCACCAAGCCGACGAUACAUAGCCGACCUGAGAGGGUGAUCGGCCACACUGGGACUGAGACACGGCCCAGACUCCUACGGGAGGCAGCAGUAGGGAAUCUUCGGCAAUGGACGGAAGCCUGAUGCAGCAAUGCCGCGUGUAUGAAGAAGGCCUUCGGGUUGUAAAGUACUUUCAGCGGGGAGCGUUACCCGCAGAAGAAGCACCGGCUAACUCCGUGCCAGCAGCCGCGGUAAUAC